AUUGAACGCUGGCGGCAUGCCUUACACAUGCAAGUCGAACGGCAGCGCGGGAGCAAUCCUGGCGGCGAGUGGCGAACGGGUGAGUAAUAUAUCGGAACGUGCCCAGUAGUGGGGGAUAGCCCGGCGAAAGCCGGAUUAAUACCGCAUACGACCUACGGGUGAAAGGGGGGGAUCGCAAGACCUCUCGCUAUUGGAGCGGCCGAUAUCAGAUUAGGUAGUUGGUGGGGUAAAGGCCUACCAAGCCUGCGAUCUGUAGUUGGUCUGAGAGGACGCCCAGCCCCACUGGGACUGGGACACGGCCCCGACUCCUACGGGAGGCAGCAGUGGGGAAUUUUGGACAAUGGGCGCAAGCCUGAUCCAGCAAUGCCGCGUGCAGGAAGAAGGCCUUCGGGUUGUAAACUGCUUUUGUCAGGGAAGAAAUCCUCUGGGUUAAUACCUCGGGGGGAUGACGGUACCUGAAGAAUAAGCACCGGCUAACUACGUGCCAGCCGCCGCCGUAACAC
rnacentral:rRNA from 1 species